rnacentral:rRNA from 1 species
AACGAACGCUGGCGGCAGGCCUAACACAUGCAAGUCGAACGCUCUAGCAAUAGAGAGUGGCAGACGGGUGAGUAACGCGUGGGAAACUUCCUAGGGGUACGGAAUAGCUCAGGGAAACUUGGGGUAAUACCGUAUGAUGCCGUAAGGCCAAAGAUUUAUCGCCCUUAGAUGUGCCCGCGUCGGAUUAGCUAGUUGGUGAGGUAAUGGCUCACCAAGGCGACGAUCCGUAGCUGGUUUGAGAGAAUGACCAGCCACACUGGGACUGAGACACGGCCCAGACUCCUACGGGAGGCAGCAGUGGGGAAUCUUGGACAAUGGGCGCAAGCCUGAUCCAGCCAUGCCGCGUGAGUGACGAAGGCCUUAGGGUUGUAAAGCUCUUUUGCCGGGGACGAUAAUGACGGUACCCGGAGAAUAAGUCCCGGCUAACUUCGUGCCAGCAGCCGCCGCCGUAA